rnacentral:rRNA from 1 species
AACGAACGCUGGCGGCAUGCCUAACACAUGCAAGUCGAACGAAGGCUUCGGCCUUAGUGGCGCACGGGUGCGUAACGCGUGGGAAUCUGCCCUUAGGUUCGGAAUAACAGCUGGAAACGGCUGCUAAUACCGGAUGAUAUCGCGGGAACAAAGAUUUAUCGCCUGAGGAUGAGCCCGCGUUGGAUUAGGUAGUUGGUGGGGUAAAGGCCUACCAAGCCGACGAUCCAUAGCUGGUCUGAGAGGAUGAUCAGCCACACUGGGACUGAGACACGGCCCAGACUCCUACGGGAGGCAGCAGUGGGGAAUAUUGGACAAUGGGCGAAAGCCUGAUCCAGCAAUGCCGCGUGAGUGAUGAAGGCCCUAGGGUUGUAAAGCUCUUUUACCCGGGAAGAUAAUGACUGUACCGGGAGAAUAAGCCCCGGCUAACUCCGUGCCAGCCGCCGCAGUAA